rnacentral:lncRNA from 1 species
GAUACUUCUGUUCCCUCUUCAGCAGAAUCGAAACAGCCGGUAUCCCUUUCAGCAGCAGGCGCUCUCCUAGAAGCUUACCGAUUUUGGCAGCAGCUGCAACAUCACGAGUGUUUCCCAUGACUGUCCUCAGGGUCUUCUCUUGCGAGCUUGCAGAGGACGCGACAGUUGCAGUUGGUGUGUGGACCACCGUCGCUGAAACAUACUUGUUGCUGAAAUGCAUCUUCAGCACAUAGGGCUUCAGAUACUCUGUGAUCCUUGGUGGUCUCAUUGCUGGUGGAAUCACCAUGUUGAUC